CCUGAACGCUGGCGGCGUGGCUAAGACAUGCAAGUCGCACGGAUGUAGCAAUACAUCAGUGGCGAACGGGUGAGUAAUGAAUCGCUAACGUACCCUGGACUUUGGGAUAGCUGACCGAAAGGUCAGGUAAUACCAGAUGAUAUAACUCUGUCGCAUGACAGAGUUCUCAAAGGUCCGCCGGUCCUGGAGCGGGCGAUUUCGUAUCAGCUAGNGGUGAGGUAACGGCUCACCAAGGCGACGACGCGUAGCCGGACUGAGAGGUUGGCCGGCCACAUU
rnacentral:rRNA from 1 species